AUCUCAGGUGGCACAAGGGGUCAGUGGGUCGGGCUGUUAACCAGAAGGUUGCUGGUUCAAGCCCACCCAGGGAUG